ACUCAAAGGAAUAGACGGGGGCCCGCACAAGCAGCGGAGCGUGUGGUUUAAUUCGAGGGUACGCGAAGAACCUUACCUGGGUUUGACAUACAAGUGGUAGCCAAAGGAAACUGCGGCGACCCUUCGGGGAGCUUGUACAGGUGCUGCAUGGUUGUCGUCAGCUCGUGCCGUGAGGUGUUCGGUUAAGUCCGCAAACGAGCGCAACCCUUAUUGCCAGUUACAAGUGUCUGGCGAGACUGCCCGUGGCAAACGGGAGGAAGGUGGGGAUGACGUCAAAUCAGCAUGGCCUUUAUAUCCAGGGCUACACACACGCUACAAUGGCGCGUACAAUGCGUAGCGAAGCCGCGAGGUGGAGCCAAUCGCGAAAGCGCGUCUCAGUUCAGAUUGUAGGCUGCAACUCGCCUGCAUGAAGUCGGAGUUGCUAGUAACCGUGUAUCAGCACGGCACGGUGAAUACGUUCCCGGGCCUUGUACACACCGCCCGU
rnacentral:rRNA from 1 species